GCAUGGACGAAUUCUGUGUUACUCCGCUCCGUAGUAACCACAGUCAGACACCAUGCUAAAUCACUCUCUCACUCUCACCGUACACACAGCGCGUGGGGGCCUGCACCCUCCUGCACGCUGCGCGAGAGUGAGCACAUUU